CUUCUUUCAAAGGUGGUCUUGUCCAUCUAAGCUGAAGCUCCAUCUCCCACCAGCACUACCAGGGCCAGUAACUCAGCUGGCCCAUUUUCACGGCGGGCAUGUCUGACCUGUGUUCAGUGACCUCAUCCUCUCUACAGAUUUGGCUGGUUAAUGACUCUGAUCCCUAAAUUAACCAUGUUGACCUAAUCAGUUGACAGGUAAGGUGGUGUCCUCACUCUCUAGCUGAGUUUCUUAUUCCUGCAUGCAAGGCAAUUCCAGUCUAGUCCUCCAUCGGCUGUGCGAUCGCUGGCAUUGAUUACAGAACAGUCAUUGUGGGGGAGCCUCAUGAUGUCAGUGAUGGGGGGAGGGGCGUACAUCGCAGGGGAUCAGCGCCGGGCCCAGGAUAUUGAGGCCGACGUAAAGCUAAAUACACAAUUCCUCUCGCACCAGUAACCCCCGCAUCCAGACGUUUCCAAACGACAGCUUAUCCACUUGAACUCAAAGACCCUCUGUUUGAGCGGAGCAUCCUGCGGCCACCCAGGGGGAGGGUCAGAGUCCCACCCUCACUGAACGCACGCUCUGCCACUUAGGAGUCACCCAGGUCACCACGGGCAGAUACGAGCUGCCGGAAGGAAACCAUUUUCCUCUCGAGAUGAGUUACCUGAAUGUGUAGUUGACCCCUCCCUUUCUGAAAAGGGUGUUUACCUGGCAUAUUCUGCACAAGCAGUCAAUCAGAUUGCGUUUGAUACAGUGCAGCUUUACAGCGGUAGUCGUUACGAAAUGCCUUUCCGGUAUUUUCCACAGGGGAUAAAACAAUGCUUGGAAAAUAGGGGAAAAUGAUUUCCCCACCUUGCUGAAAUGUGGCUGGCUGCAGCUGCUGGAGGAAAAAACCAAAACAACAGCCAUGAACUGCAGUGUGUGCGUAAGCAGGUUUUCUAUGAACUAAAGGGAUGCAGAAACCAUUUAGGAGUCUGUCUCCUCCAAUCAGCUGUCCGGAAGAAGGGAAGACAAACAGAUAUGUGGUCACCAUUCUAAAGGGGAAGCAUUUUAAUUACUAUCAAUCAGUAACAUUCUGAAACCUCAGGCACAUCCUUGCUUGAUGGCAUUGACAUCAAAGAGGAGUCUUCAAAUGAAAAUGGUGUGUUUCUAUAUUAAGCAGUUUUCUAAAUCAUUGAUCUGGAAUUGCUGUCCUUCCCGUCGCUUGAGGCUCUGCCAUUUCCGCUCAUUCAGCAGUUGCAGCUACGUCAAGAUGACUUGCGCCGUAUGAAGCAAUUCUAACAGCCUUCCAAGCAGGACCUGGCCACAGAAUCUCAGCUUCUCAUCAAAGCACACCGUGCGUGACGUCGGGGAUUAGUUUGGGGGAAGACGGCUGAGCUGUGCUCACGCACACCGCAAAAAAAAAGCAAGAGCAAAAAUACCUGCCACCAUCUGAAACUCUUGAUCCGAGAAUGAAAAAUGUAUGUUUUCUUUGAUGUUUCUGUCGAACGGAGUCAGCCCACUCUAAAGCAGACAAUGGAA